rnacentral:rRNA from 1 species
ACUGACAGCGGGCAAUCAUAGCGGGUAAUGAGGAGGUUGCGAGGUUUAUCCGGAUGUAGUGGGGUUAAAGGGGCCGGAGGCGGAGCGGUAGGUCAGUGGUGAAAGCCUACAGCGUAACUGUGGAACUGCCGUUGAUACUGUCGGUCUUGAGUGUGGUUGAGGUAGCUGGAAUGAGUAGUGUAGCGGUGAAAUGCAUAGAUAUUACUCAGAACACCAAUUGCGAAGGCAGGUUACCAAGUCACAACUGACGCUGAUGGACGAAAGCGUGGGGAGCGAACAGGAUUAGAUACCCCUGUAGUC